CAGUAGCCGCGGGAAUACGGAGGGCGCUAGCGUUGUUCGGAAUCACUGGGCGUAAAGCGCACGUAGGCGGCUAUUCAAGUCAGGGGUGAAAGCCCGGGGCUCAACCCCGGAACUGCCUUUGAAACUAGAUAGCUUGAAUCUUGGAGAGGCGAGUGGAAUUCCGAGUGUAGAGGUGAAAUUCGUAGAUAUUCGGAAGAACACCAGUGGCGAAGGCGACUCGCUGGACAAGUAUUGACGCUGAGGUGCGAAAGCGUGGGGAGCAAACAGGAUUAGAUACCCCUGUAGUCCCUGUCUCUUAUAC
rnacentral:rRNA from 1 species